rnacentral:lncRNA from 1 species
AUAUUUUUUUUAAAAUUCUAUUUUUUUCCUAUAACUUCUAUUUUACUAAAUUUGUUUCAUAUAUAUUUUUUAAAUUCCAUUUUUUCCUAUAACUUCAAUUUCAUGCUGACAUCACUUAGCCGUUGGAUUUGAAUUUAAGUUGUAAUUUUUAAAUAAUAAAUUAUGUUUGGCCCUAUGGCCCUUUGACCCUUGGUGAGAGACGGUUUUUUUGUGACAGGGCUAAAACGAGCCAUAUGGCCCUCAGUUGGAGAUGGAGGCAAAUAUGACCAUGUACUGUUCAUUAAAAUAUUAAUAUC